rnacentral:rRNA from 1 species
GUGGUUUAAUUCGAUGCAACGCGAAGGACCUUACCUACUCUUGACAUCCAGAGAAUUUGCUAGAGAUAGCUUAGUGCCUUCGGGAACUCUGAGACAGGUGCUGCAUGGCUGUCGUCAGCUCGUGUUGUGAAAUGUUGGGUUAAGUCCCGCAACGAGCGCAACCCUUAUCCUUUGUUGCCAGCGAGUAAUGUCGGGAACUCAAAGGAGACUGCCGGUGAUAAACCGGAGGAAGGUGGGAUGACGUCAAGUCAUCAUGGCCCUUACGAGUAGGGCUACACACGUGCUACAAUGGCAUAUACAAAGAGAAGCGAACUCGCGAGAGCAAGCGGACUUCAUAAAGUAUGUCGUAGUCCGGAUUGGAGUCUGCAACUCGACUCCAUGAAGUCGGAAUCGCUAGUAAUCGUAGAUCAGAAUGCUACGGUCGAAUACGUUCCCGGGCCUU